GAUGAACGCUGGCGGCGUGCCUAAUACAUGCAAGUCGAGCGAACGGACGAGAAGCUUGCUUCUCUGAUGUUAGCGGCGGACGGGUGAGUAACACGUGGAUAACCUACCUAUAAGACUGGGAUAACUUCGGGAAACCGGAGCUAAUACCGGAUAAUAUUUUGAACCGCAUGGUUCAAAAGUGAAAGACGGUCUUGCUGUCACUUAUAGAUGGAUCCGCGCUGCAUUAGCUAGUUGGUAAGGUAACGGCUUACCAAGGCAACGAUGCAUAGCAGACCUGAGAGGGAGAUCGGCAAAAAUGGAAGUGGAACACGGUGCAGAAUCCUACGGGAGGCAACAGGAGGGAAACUUACGCAAUAGGCGAAAGCCUGACGGAGCAACGCCACGUGAGUGAUGAAGAUCUUCGGAUCGUAAAACUCUGUUAAUAGGGAAGAACAUAUGUGUAAGUAACUGUGCACAUCUUGACGGUACCUAAUCAGAAAGCCACGGCUAACUACGUG
rnacentral:rRNA from 1 species